rnacentral:piRNA from 1 species
UGUUGGAGGAGAACAAAACAGGGUAGU